rnacentral:rRNA from 1 species
AUCGAUGAAGAACGCAGCGAAAUGCGAUAAGUAGUGUGAAUUGCAGAAUUCAGUGAAUCAUCGAAUCUUUGAACGCACAUUGCGCCCUUCGGUAUUCCGUUGGGCAUGCCUGUUCGAGCGUCAUUUAAACCUUCAAGCUCUGCUUGGUGUUGGGUGUCUGUUCCGCCUCAGUGCGUGGACUCGCCUUAAAUUCAUUGGCAGCCGGUAUGUUGGCUUCGUGCGCAGCACAUUGUGUCACGCUUCUAACAAACCCCUUCCCAUUAAGCCUCUUUUUACUUUGACCUCGGAUCAGGUAGGGAUACCCGCUGAACUUAAGCAUAUCAAUAAGCGGAGGAAAAGAAACCAACAGGGAUUGCCUCAGUAACGGCGAGUGAAGCGGCAAUAGCUCAAAUUUGAAAUCUGGCUCUUUCAGAGUCCGAGUUGUAAUUUGCAGAGGGCGCUUUGGCGUCGGCAGCAGCCUAAGUUCCUUGGAACAGGUCAUCAUAGAGGGUGAGAAUCCCGUAUGUGGCUGCUUGUCUUCACCGUGUAAAGCCCCUUCGAUGAGUCGAGUUGUUUGGGAAUGCAGCUCUAAAUGGGAGGUGAAUUUCUUCUAAAGCUAAAUAUUGGCCAGAGACCGAUAGCGCACAAGUAGAGUGAUCGAAAGAUGAAAAGCACUUUGGAAAGAGAGUCAAAAAGCACGUGAAAUUGUUGAAAGGGAAGCGCUUGCAGCCAGACGUGCCCGCAGUUGCUCAUCCGGGGUUCUCCCCGGUGCACUCUUCUGUGGGCAGGCCAGCAUCAGUUCGGGCGGUUGGAGAAAGACCUGUGUCAUGUAGCUGUUCUCGGGCAGUGUUAUAGGGCAGGUGGAAUGCAACCAGCUGGAACUGAGGUCCGCGCAUCUGCUAGGAUGCUGGCGUAAUGGCUGUAAGCGGCCCGUCUUGAAACACGG